AUGGUUUUCAAUGCCACCGCUGUGAUGGACACACUCACACUCUCGCAAGUGACACAGGAAAACAUCAGGGCCAUAUGCUUGGAGAUGGGCGGCAAAACAUCUAGGAGCUUAUCUGGCAUUCUCGAUCUCAGUCGGGACAACCACUCAUUGGCAUCUCGAGCUCCUUCGUCUCCGGACACGGUGGCCUUCUCCUACUGCCUACCCUCUACUGUUGUCGCCCAGGGCUUCCUCUUCAUUGGCGCACCCCGGCCAGAACGCUCCCGCCACUUUGUUGUCUACACCCCCUUACGGACCAACACUCUACUCCCGAGCAUGUACGUCGUCCGGCUCACCAAACUAGAUGUUAGCGGGGUGGAUGUCAAGAUCCCGUAUGCGCCGCACGCCGGCAACGCGAUGUUCGUGCUCGACACCACGUUCACCUACCUGAAGCCGGAGACCUAUGUGAUUCUCCGUGAGCAGUUCAUGUCGCAGAUGACGGAGUACCGCGUGGCGCCGUCGAUGGGCGACCUCGACACCUGCUACAACUUCACUGGUCUGACGAGAAUGAGUAUGCCAUCCAUCACACUAUGGUUCGAAGGAUGGGCAUAUAUUGUCCCCGGCAUGGAACAAAUGAUGUAUUUUGGGCGUCGGGGAGAUAUCUUCUCCGUUGGGUGCCUCGCAUUUGCUGCGGCAUCAGACUUGCCACCGGGGAUCACUGCGGUCAUCGGCACCCUGCUGCAGGAGAGGACAGAGGUGGUGUAUGACGUUCAUGGAGGGAAGAUGGGGUUUUCCCAUAAACAAUGCUGGUGA
rnacentral:rRNA from 1 species